CUACGGGACGCAGCAGUGGGGAAUAUUGGACAAUGGGGGAAACCCUGAUCCAGCAAUGCCGCGUGUGUGAAGAAGGCCUGCGGGUUGUAAAGCACUUUCGGUUGGGAGGACUGCUUCUAGCACUAAUAUUGUUGGAAGUUGACGUUACCUUCAGAAGAAGCACCGGCUAACUCCGUGCCAGCAGCCGCGGUAAUACGGAGCGGUGCAAGCGUUAAUCGGAAUUACUGGGCGUAAAGCGCGCGUAGGCGGCUAGAUCAGUCGGGUGUGAAAGCCCCGGGCUUAACCUGAGAACUGCAUCCGAUACUGUCUAGCUUGAGUACAGGAGAGGAGAGUGGAAUUCCACAUGUAGCGGUGAAAUGCGUAGAUAUGUGGAGGAACACCAAUGGCGAAGGCAGCUCUCUGGCCUGAUACUGACGCUGAGGUGCGAAAGCGUGGGGAGCAAACAGGAUUAGAUACCCCGGUAGUC
rnacentral:rRNA from 1 species